AGUGAACGCUGGCGGUAGGCCUAACACAUGCAAGUCGAACGGCAGCACAGUAAGAGCUUGCUCUUACGGGUGGCGAGUGGCGGACGGGUGAGGAAUACAUCGGAAUCUACUUUUUCGUGGGGGAUAACGUAGGGAAACUUACGCUAAUACCGCAUACGACCUACGGGUGAAAGCAGGGGAUCUUCGGACCUUGCGCGAUUGAAUGAGCCGAUGUGGGAUUAGCUAGUUGGCGGGGUAAAGGCCCACCAAGGCGACGAUCCGUAGCUGGUCUGAGAGGAUGAUCAGCCACACUGGAACUGAGACACGGUACAGACUCCGAGGGGAGGCAGCAGUGGGGAAUAUUGGACAAUGGGCGCAAGCCUGAUCCAGCCAUACCGCGUGGGUGAAGAAGGCCUUCGGGUUGUAAAGCCCUUUUGUUGGGAAAGAAAAGCAGCAGGUUAAUACCCCGCUGUUCUGACGGUACCCAAAGAAUAAGCACCGGCUAACUUCGUG
rnacentral:rRNA from 1 species